rnacentral:lncRNA from 1 species
CCUGGGUGCAUAUGUUUUUAAUUUACAUAAAUGUAUUUUCUAUAAAUCAUAUUAUUCUCAGUUUUCUUACUAAGCUGUAUGUUUUUAAGAAUACUCUACAUUGCUUUGUAUAUUUAAUCUAUUGCUUCUAACUGCUGCAUAGUAUUCAGUAAUGUACACCCACCGUAUUUUAGUGAUCUGUUCACCCAGUGAUGAAAACUGUGUCUGUGGGACAGUUAAUUUGGGGGAGAGCCAAAGCAGAACUAAAAACUCUACCCGUGUACAUCCUCCCCCUGCUGUGCCCAACCACCAUCCACAACGGGCUGCUGCAAAGCCCGUCCUUAACCGCCCUGUCCCAAAUCACACACACACACAGACAUUUAGUCCAUGACAGCCUUCGUUCUCUGAGAUGGUUUAGAUUUGUUCUGUUCCGUCCUCAGACCCUUAAGACCCUCUCCCUUCUGUGGGGUCUCCAGGGUUGAUUUUGAGUCAGAGUGCCAACUGCCAAUUUGUCAGCUUUCAGGUUUUCAAUUCCACUGAGUUUGCUAAAUUCAAUUAUUACGUUUUCAGUUUGAGAGUUCUUUUUUCUUCAUAUCUGCCUUGUUAUUUUGAAUAAUAUCUUGUUCCUUCAUCAUACACUCAAUAUCCUCCUUCAUUUCUUGAAAUAGUUAAGAAACCUGUUUUAUAGUCUAUAUUUGAGAUUUCCAAAUCAUCAGUGUUUGGUGGGUCUGAUUCUGUUGUUUGUUUGUUUUUCUUUUACUCAGGAUGGCUUCUUUACUACGCCUAUGUUCCUUGGAAUUUUAUCUCUGGAAAUUUUUAAGACCUGAGUUUAAAAUAUUCCUCUGGAGAGAAUUUGCGUUUGCUUUUGUCUGACUGCUGAUGUUGCUAUCAAAUUCAGAUCACUAAAUUUUCAGCUUGAGUAUUUCAAGAGGCGAUGAGGGAUGGGGCUAGGAGCCACAUAGGUAGGGUGGGUUCUAGCCCUAAAUCAGCUACAGUGCAAUCCUAUGAUUAGGAAUAGACAGAAGGGACUUUCUAGGGUUUUUUCCUCCUUCACCGAGAGCCGUCGCUGAGACAAGCAAGUAUACCCAGUCUUACUCUGUGGAGCAAGGUUUCUUUCUAGUUCAUCUACUAAGGAUGUUGCCUUUGCAAGUUCUUGGCUUUGUGCUGAGGUCUUGGACUUCAUGCACACACACACACCAACUUUGGCCCUAGACUUUAUUUCCUGCCUGCCACAGCAUAGCCUGUUCAUUUUGUACUAGGACAUCUAGUCUGCCAUAUUGCCUCAAGUGGAAACUUCCAUAUUCUUAAAUUCAUCUUAGUAAUACACUUUUGUGAUGUUACAGCAGGAAGAUAACAGGAAAUUAUUCCAUUCUAAUUUCUGUUGAAUUUAUAAUUAAAAGUGUGCACAGGAAUUUAGAAUAGAAAGUAAGAAUAAAUAAAAGGGUUGAGAAAAUAUUAUCUAAAAGCAAUAGACAGUAGAACCAAAACAAGAGAAUCAUAUGACAGGCUUAAAUUUAGUAAUUUAAAGAGUGUUUAUGAAUAGAAAAGAUGUCACGCAAAAAUAAGUUAAAUGACAUGGAUUCCAGCUGUGAUAUAACUGCAUUCAGUUAGGAAAAGACUAAAUGCUUUGAAGCUAGAUGCUCUGAACAGCUCUUUAUCACCAAAUCAGGCAGGCUGAUAUCUUCUCCAUUUUAUCGUUAAACUUUAGGUCACAAGUCUAAGGCAACAGAGUUACAAACUCAAAAUUUGCAUGAUUAUUUCUAUUUUCUCAUAAAAAAAUAAUUUUGGUAACAUUUCCCAUAAGCAUCUUCUAAUUUAACAGUGGAAUCUUAAAAUCAAUUUCAAAGAUCAAAGCACAAAAAUUAUCUUGGUUUUGAUCUUAGUAUAAAAUACUGUCAAUAAUUAUAAAACAAGAAUUAUAUGCCCUUAGAAUGUGCACCAUUUUAAGCUAUUAAAUUCACCCAUAUUGCAG